CCCUUAGAUGUUCUGGGCCGCACACGCGCUACACUGAAGGAGGCAGCGUGUACUCCUGGAUCGAAAGAUUUGGGUAACCCGCGAAUCUCCUUCGUGCUAGGGAUUGAGGUUUGCAAUUAUCCUUCAUGAACGAGGAAUUCCCAGUAAGUGCAAGUCAUAAGCUUGCGCUGACUACGUCCCUGCCCUUUGUACACACCGCCCGUGGCUACUACCGAUUGAAUGAUUUAGUGAGGACUUCGGACUGGGACCGAUGCGGCUUUCGGGCUGCGUCGGUAUUCUGGAAAGAUGUCCAAACUGUAUCAUUUAGAGGAAGUAAAAGUCGUAACA
rnacentral:rRNA from 1 species